GAUGAAUGCUGGCGGCGUGCCUAACACAUGCAAGUCGAGCGGCAGCGCGGUCUUCGGACUGGCGGCGAGCGGCGGACGGCUGAGUAACGCGUGGGAACAUACCCCAAAGUGAGGGAUAACCGCCCGAAAGGGUGGCUAAUACCGCAUAUGGUCUUCGGAUUAAAGGAUUUAUCCGCUUUGGGAAUGGCCUGCGUAUGAUUAGAUAGUUGGUGAGGUAAUGGCUCACCAAGUCGACGAUCAUUAACUGGUCUGAGAGGAUGAUCAGUCAGACUGGAACUGAUACACGGUCCAGACUCCUACGGGAGGCAGCAGUGAGGAAUCUUCCACAAUGGGCGAAAGCCUGAUGGAGCAACGCCGCGUGCAGGAUGAAGGCCUUCGGGUCGUAAACUGCUUUUAUAAGCGAAGAAUAUGACGGUAACUUAUGAAUAAGCACCGGCUAACUACGUGCCAGCAGCCGCGGUAACAC
rnacentral:rRNA from 1 species